AGAACUAGUACUUUUAGGUUUUAUGGUCAAGUAAUUUUGUUGUAAAAAAAAGUAACCAAUGAUAUAAAGAAAUGUAAUACUUUUAAAGAAAGUAGAAAUAAACAAAAAAAAAAAUUGGUGAAAAGAAAAAUAUAAAGAAAUGUAUAUUUUUGAAAAAAGAAAAAAUAAAUGAAAAAAUAAAAAAUAAAAAAAUGCUGAAAAGAAAAACUAGAAUGCAUUUAAUGGAUUUCGAACUACGGUCAUAUUAUAUAUAAGGUGAGAGUAUCACUUAUACAUUGCCCCAUAGUCUCAUUUUAUACACUUAUCUCACAG
rnacentral:lncRNA from 1 species